rnacentral:rRNA from 1 species
UACAGAGGGGGCGAGCGUUAUUCGGAAUUAUUGGGCGUAAAGGGCGCGUAGGCGGCUUGGCAAGUGAGGGGUGAAAUCCCUCGGCUUAACCGAGGAGCUGCCUGUCAAACUGCAUGGCUUGAGACCGGGAGAGGUGAGUGGAAUUCCCAGUGUAGCGGUGAAAUGCGUAGAUAUUGGGAGGAACACCAGUGGCGAAGGCGGCUCACUGGACCGGUACUGACGCUGAGGCGCGAAAGCGUGGGUAGCGAACAGG